CCUACGGGAGGCAGCAGUGAGGAAUAUUGGUCAAUGGACGUAAGUCUGAACCAGCCAUGCCGCGUGCAGGAAGACUGCUCUAUGAGUUGUAAACUUCUUUUGUACAAGGGUAAACCUGAAUACGUGUAUUCAGCUGAAAUUACUGUACGAAUAAGGAUCGGCUAACUCCGUUCCAGCAGCCACGGUACUACGGAGGAUCCAAUCGUUAUCCGGAUUUAUUGGUUUUAACGGGGGCGUAGGAGGAUUGAUAAGUUAGAGGUGAAAUGUCCGGGCUUAACUCGGGAACUGCCUCUAAUACUGUUGAUCUAGGGAGUAGAUGCGGUAGGCGGAAUGUAUGGUGUAGCGGUGAAAUGCUUAGAGAUCAUACAGAACAGCGAUUGCGAAGGCAGCUUACCAAUCUAUAUCUGACGUUGAGGCACGAAAGCGUGGGGAGCAAACAGGAUUAGAUACCCCAGUAGUC
rnacentral:rRNA from 1 species